rnacentral:rRNA from 1 species
GAGGCAGCAGUGGGGAAUAUUGCACAAUGGAGGGAACUCUGAUGCAGCGGCGUGGGGUGAGAGAUGAAGGCUUUCGUGUCGUAAAGUUCUGUCCUAUGGGACGAUAAUGACGGUACCAUAGGAGGAAGCCCCGGCUAACUACGUGCCAGCAGCCGCGGUAAUACGUAGGGGGCGAGCGUUGUCCGGAUUUAUUGGGCGUAAAGGGUCCGCAGGCGGCCAUGUAAGUCAGAUGUGAAAUCCUAGGGCUUAACCGUAGUAAGCAUUUGAAACUGUGUGGCUUGAGUUAAGGAGAGGAAAGUGGAAUUCCUAGUGUAGCGGUGAAAUGCGUAGAUAUCAGGAGGAACCCCAGUGGAGAAGGCGACUUUCUGGCAAUAAACUGACGCUGAGGUAAGAAAGCGUGGGGAGCAAACAGGAUUAGAUCCCGUGGUUGUCCACCCUGUAAACGAUGAGUUAUAGGUGUCGGGGGCCAAACCUCGGUGCCGCAGUUAACGC